rnacentral:rRNA from 1 species
GAUGAACGCUAGCUACAGGCUUAACACAUGCAAGUCGAGGGACCGGCGCACGGGUGAGUAACACGUAUCCAACCUGCCCUUUACUCGGGGAUAGCCUUUCGAAAGAAAGAUUAAUACCCGAUAUAAAGGAUGGGGAUGCGUUCCAUUAGGUUGUUGGUGAGGUAACGGCUCACCAAGCCUUCGAUGGAUAGGGGUUCUGAGAGGAAGGUUCCCCACAUUGGGACCUGGGCAACGUUCAAAACCCCAACGGAGGCAGACAUUGGGAAAAUUUGGUAAAGGGCCCUAGCCUGAACCAGCCAAGUAGCGUGAAGGAUGAAGGCUAAUGGGUCGUAAACUUCUUUUAUAUAAGAAUAUGUAUUAUAUGAAUAAGGAUCGGCUAACUCCGUGCCAGCAGCCGCGGUAAUUC